rnacentral:rRNA from 1 species
AAUACGGGGGGGCAAGCGUUGUUCGGAAUUACUGGGCGUAAAGCGCGCGUAGGCGGCUUUGUAAGUUAGAGGUGAAAGCCUGGAGCUCAACUUCAGAAUUGCCUUUAAGACUGCAUCGCUUGAAUCCGGGAGAGGUGAGUGGAAUUCCGAGUGUAGAGGUGAAAUUCGUAGAUAUUCGGAAGAACACCAGUGGCGAAGGCGGCUCACUGGACCGGCAUUGACGCUGAGGUGCGAAAGCGUGGGGAGCAAACA